rnacentral:rRNA from 1 species
AUGAACGCUAGCUACAGGCUUAACACAUGCAAGUCGAGGGGAAACGAUAGAGAAAGCUUGCUUUUUCUAGGCGUCGACCGGCGCACGGGUGAGUAACGCGUAUCCAACCUGCCCAUCACUUGGGGAUAACCUUGCGAAAGUAAGACUAAUACCCAAUGACGUCUCUAGAAGACAUCUGAAAGAGAUUAAAGAUUUAUCGGUGAUGGAUGGGGAUGCGUCUGAUUAGCUUGUUGGCGGGGUAACGGCCCACCAAGGCGACGAUCAGUAGGGGUUCUGAGAGGAAGGUCCCCCACAUUGGAACUGAGACACGGUCCAAACUCCUACGGGAGGCAGCAGUGAGGAAUAUUGGUCAAUGGACGAGAGUCUGAACCAGCCAAGUAGCGUGCAGGAUGACGGCCCUAUGGGUUGUAAACUGCUUUUAUAAGGGAAUAAAGUGAGAGUCGUGACUCUUUUUGCAUGUACCUUAUGAAUAAGGACCGGCUAAUUCCGUGCCAGCAGCCGCGGUAAUACGGAAGGUCCGGGCGUUAUCCGGAUUUAUUGGGUUUAAAGGGAGCGUAGGCCGGAGAUUAAGCGUGUUGUGAAAUGUAGACGCUCAACGUCUGCACUGCAGCGCGAACUGGUUUCCUUGAGUACGCACAAAGUGGGCGGAAUUCGUGGUGUAGCGGUGAAAUGCUUAGAUAUCACGAAGAACUCCGAUUGCGAAGGCAGCUCACUGGAGCGCAACUGACGCUGAAGCUCGAAAGUGCGGGUAUCGAACAGGAUUAGAUACCCUGGUAGUCCGCACGGUAAACGAUGGAUGCCCGCUGUUGGUCUGAAUAGGUCAGCGGCCAAGCGAAAGCAUUAAGCAUCCCACCUGGGGAGUACGCCGGCAACGGUGAAACUCAAAGGAAUUGACGGGGGCCCGCACAAGCGGUGGAGUAUGUGGUUUAAUUCGACGCAACGCGAAGAACCUUACCAGGUCUUGACAUUGAUCGCGAUCUGCAGAAAUGCGGAGUUCUUCUUCGGAAGACGAGAAAACAGGUGGUGCACGGCUGUCGUCAGCUCGUGUCGUGAGAUGUUGGGUUAAGUCCCGCAACGAGCGCAACCCCUAUCUUCAGUAGCCAGCGGUAAGGCCGGGCACUCUGGAGAGACUGCCAGGGAUAACCUGGAGGAAGGUGGGGAUGACGUCAAAUCAGCACGGCCCUUACGUCCGGGGCUACACACGUGUUACAAUGGCAGGUACAGAGAGAUGGUGUUCUGCAAAGCGCAUCUAAUCCUUAAAGCCUGUCUCAGUUCGGACUGGGGUCUGCAACCCGACCCCACGAAGCUGGAUUCGCUAGUAAUCGCGCAUCAGCCAUGGCGCGGUGAAUACGUUCCCGGGCCUUGUACACACCGCCCGUCAAGCCAUGAAAGCUGGGGGCGCCUAAAGUCCGUGACCGUAAGGAGCGGCCUAGGGCGAAACUGGUAAUUGGGGCU